rnacentral:lncRNA from 1 species
AUAAAUAAACUGAAAUGAAUUAGAAGAGACUCAGCCACACAUGCCAGCGAACUAGCUAGGAGUCUCUGGACUGAAGGCACGCUCCCAAUCUACUGCUGCGGUCCGUAAGUUGUCUCCUGACCUGUGCACAAAAUGCACAGAAGUGUAGCAUCAGCACUACCGACCCCAUGUGCUGGUAAGUGCCUGGCCUAACUCCGGCGAAGUAGUGACGAGGCUAUACAUGACCUACCACAAUCAACCUGUGCAAUAUGAUAUACAAGUACGGGAAAAAAACAAUAACAAAAUAAUACAAGUAAAGCUGGGAGGGGACAUGCUAUCGUGGAGUACUAGUUGAAAAUAGAACAUCAGAAAAAAAAAGCAAAUCUAUUCCGGGUUUCAUGAUACAUAUAUAUCUACAGUGGACGGCACGUCACACGAUCCCAUAAUGUAUAAUCUAAGUGGACGGCACGCUACACGAUCGCGUAUUGUAGUAUAUAAGUGGACGGCGCGCCACAUGAUUCCAUUUUCUCCGUGCACAAUGUCACUGACAUCUCAGGCCUAUAACAAUAAUCAAUAUAAGUUGUGGUCGGCGUGCCACACGAUCCUGUUUUAUAAUUCAUAAGUUAUGCCAUAUUUUUCGAAUUAAAAGCAUUUACGACUCACAGUCAUGCUAGACACCGGUGUAUAGAUACUCGUCACCAUACCUAUACACUGUAUUCGAUCAUUUAACAAAUAGCAAUCAAACACUCUAAUCCUAUUCCCUCAAGCCAAAGUUAGAUCAAACACUUACCUCGAAAGCUCCAAACUCAACUCACACCUCAGGAUAGCUUUACCAAUCGAAUUCAUAACAAGACCGCUCGAAUCUAGUCAUAAGUUACUCAAAGAUAUCAACAAAUGCUAGUUAAACUAAUUUGAAUACAUAAGGACGCAUUUCCCAAAGUUUAGCCUAAACAUUCCCAAAACGCCCCCGGCCCCACGUGGUCAAAACCCGAGGUUCGAAACAAAAUUGGAUUACACAUCCCCCCGAAUCUAAUCACAAUUUACUCAAAUGUAUCAACAAAUGCUAGUUAAAUAAAUUUGAAUGCAAUAAGAAUAAUUUUCUCAAAGUUUUGCCCAAAAAUUUCCAAAUUUCCCCCGGGUCCACGUGGUCAAAACCCGAGGUUCGAACCAAAACUGGGUUACCCAUAUAUAUAUAUAUAUAUGUAUAUAGUUUUGAAAUCGAAUCUCAAAUUGAGGUCCAAAUCCUUUUUCCCAAUUUUAAGAAAAUCUAGAUUCUACCCCAAAUCCCCAUUUUUGCCCAUGGAAAACCUUGAUUUUGAGAUGGAAACAUGAUAAAAGAUGUUAAAGAGUUAAGAAAUUGAGUGAAAAUUGACUUACAAAUGAUUUGGAGAAGAGAGAGUUCGUGAAAAAUCACCAGCGAGUGUUUGGGUUUUGAAAAUAUGAAGAAUGAGGUUUAAAAAUCGUCUAAGUAAGAAGCAUACAGGUGCAAAUAUCGCAAUUGCGAAUCCAACAGGCUUGGGAUUUGCGAGGUUUUACUUCGCAUUUGCGAAGUUGGGCCAUUUUGGGGAGUAUCGCAUUUGCGGACAUUUGAUCGCAUUUGCGAUCUUAGGCCAACUCCCCUUCCUCACAUUUACGGGGAAAAGUUCGCUUUUGCGAACAUUGGCCUGCCUGUGCUCAUCUCACAUAUGCAAACCAACACUCGCAUUUGCAAUGGCUGGGCAUUUACUUUUGCGAUUCCUGGCUUCACAUAUGUGAAAAUUGCAAAAGCCUCAUAAUAGAUUUUUCAAAAUAUGAGAAAUGUAAUCUGAUGCCUAUCCAAAACUCACCCGAGCCCUCGGGGCUCCAACCCAAGCAUACACACAACCUCAGAAACAUCCCACGGACCUACUCGCGCAAUCAAAUCGCAAAAAUAACAUCAUUUACAUGGAAUCAAGCCUCCAAACUCAUGAAUUUCAUGUCAAAGUUCUUAACUUCCAUAUCUUCCAUUUUUAGUCCGAAACACGUCAAACGACGUCCGAUUUCGACCAAAUUUUCACAGAAAGCGUUUAACGCUCAUUUAAGACCUGUACCGGGCGUUGGAACCAAAAUAAGAGCCCGAUACCAUUACUUUCUAACUCAUUUUCAUUUCAAUUUCUCAUAUCAUUUUCAGAUAAACAAUUUCUUUAAAAAAUUCCGUACUCGGGCCUGGUACCUCAGAUUUCGAUUACGAAAAUACGCCUGGGUCCCAUAUUUUCCUACCGUUUACUCAAAAUGUUGACCAAAGUCAACUAUAUCAAUAUUAUUAUCAAAAUUCAUAGUUUAAUACAAAGUUCAUAUAUUUCCACAUAAAUAUUUUCUGGCUUCACGCCCCGACUGCGCACGCAAAUCGAAACAACCAAAUAAGAGAUUUUCAAGACCUCAGAAGCACGAAGAAAGGAAAAAUUACGAUAAUGACCCUUUGGAUCGUCACAAUACCGAACAAACUCUAAUCAACUUAACAACAAUUUACGUGCUUAUAUAUUCGUAACAAAUUUCGAGUAAAGAAAAUAAUUGGAGUUACGAAACAUGUGUAGACAAUCACUUCCUUAAUAAAUGUGAGAAUACAACUGUGCGUAUCCAUUGAUUUUGUCUUUAAUAUAAUUUUCUUUCUUUCUUUUUUUUUCCUUGGAUGGCACAAAUAUCAUAUUUCUGGAAUGAAGAAUGACGACGAUCUCAUUAUGGUGUUAUCGGUCAUCAAGAAAAGUUUGAUAGCACUUAGACUUAUUUUGAAGCUCUUAUCUAGAUAUCUCAUUCCUGUCUUCUUUGUUUUGAUCUCAUUUCAAGUCGAAAAGAUGUCCUGAUUUCUUUGUUCUUGAAAACAACCAAUAUAUAUUUACAGUUGUAGAAUAGAUAGCAGUGCGGUAAAUAAGGUCCUUUGCCAAAUUUGAUUGACUCAUUUGAUUUGUUAACCAAUCAAAUUGGAUAUUUUAGCGUAAUUUGAUAGGACCAUAUUUGAUUUGUUGAAAAAUGUCAUUAAACCGCCUAGCCUACGAAUUGAGUAAUAAACUAACAAUCUUGGUUUUGGAUAAUGUGUUCUGAUUAUACUAUUUAGCACAAGUUUAUGCCCGAGUUCAACCCGUGCUAUCUGUACAUCAUACCCCUUUAUAAUUUUAAAAAUAAUAAGAUAAUUCUUUUAGAUCUCAUUUCCAUAAAAGACAAAUCUUUUACUAUAUCUUUUAUGUAUGAAAAAAGAGAUAGGAUUAUAAAAUUAAAAACAAAUUUAUAAAGAGUUAUAAAACCAAUUGACCGAUGUUUAAAAUUGUCAUACAUCUCACACACACGUAAACAUAUUUACGACAGCGUUGUUAGAGAAAAUAGGCAUUGCCUAGUGUUUCUUAUGCUGUCCAGUGUAAUGUAAAUGGAGGCGUUGCACCAUGGAACUCAUCGAGUUCAGUAUUCUUUAUGCGAAACACAUAAAAAUUACUAAAAAAGUAACAAAUAGUAUAUUUGAACGCAUAAUUUUAAAAAACAUAAUGGAUACGGUGCCAAAAUCUUAAAGUCUGAAUCAAAAGAGUUGCCUCUAAAUAUAAGGUCGACAAAUAUACUUAUAUUGGAUCAGAUGAUAAAAAUAUUCAUCGAUGUUUGUGUCUUGAAUUUGAACUGAUUCUAUGAAUGAUCACAGAGUAUUGAUUAUAUGGAUCCAAUAUCAGGUUCACGAGUUCCAAUUUCACCCAAACUACACAUAUAUCAGGCAAAAAUUUUACAUCAGAAAAAAGUCUGAAAUUUUCUAUUACCAUUUCAGAUCAGAAUCCAUACAGUUUCAUUCCCUAUCUUAUUAAUCAUAUUCAAACCAAAAUAAAUAAAUAGAAAUAUAUUUUGACAAGAACUUGCAAGCAUAUAUAAAUGUUUUGUAUCAGUUGCUAGGACAAAGUGGUUCCAAUUUUAUAAUUCCAAUUGGAAAGUAAUAAGUCUAGCUAAUAAGUGUAGUAGUAAUUUAAGCUAUGAGACAAGAGUGUAAUCAAUGAUUAAGCAACAUAACUAAGCUAUUUUCAAACAGGUCAACAUACACAAACGAGAACAAACAAAUCAAAUCCAGAUCCAUCAAAAUAAGAAAGCAAAAUCUAAAAACAGAAGGCGAAUAUCUCUGUUUUAUCCAAAUAUAAACGCUGUACAUUCAACAUACUUGUGUGACUCCACGAACCGACUCGCCGGAAUUGCGUGUUGCCGCCGUGUAAGGAUUUGGAAGCAGAAGGUGGCGAUGGAGGUAAAAAUGUUUCCGGUUCGUCGACUCAUCUGCGACCGGUCCAAAUCGGGCCGGUUCAUAGCGGCGCCGCCGUGUUAGGCGGUGAAGUAGAAGAUAGGUUGAAGAAGAAGGUAGAGGAAGAUGAAGCAAGUGCUUGACGCUGCUAAGAACACCAAUCCGUACAGAGUUCGAACCGCCAUUGAAGAAGAUUCUGGAGUUGAUAGGAAAGAGAUUUGAGAUUUAGAUCUGGAAAGUAGUGGUGGGGAAGUUCGAUUUUAAAUAAGAGACUGUAAAAGCUUCCUGAUUUGAAAUUUGAAUGUGAAAAAGGACUUAAAAGGGAAAAUGGAUAAGGCUAUAGCAAAAUAUAAUAAUUUUAAAGAAGAAUGAAGAUAAGGUUAAAGGUCUAUAGCAAUAACAAUUUACAAUAUUUUAAUCUAUUAAUUU